rnacentral:rRNA from 1 species
CAAGGAUGUGGAGGGAGUUGGGGAGCCGGGAGGGUAGGUAAUGUCUUAAAACCAUUCUCAGUUCGGACUGUAGGCUGCAACUCGCCUACACGAAGUCGGAAUCGCUAGUAAUCGCGGAUCAGCAUGCCACGGUGAAUACGUUCCCGGGCCUUGUACACACCGCCCGUCUUCACCAUGAGAGUUUGUAACACCCAAAGCCGGUGGGGUAACCUUUA